AUUGAACGCUGGCGGCAUGCCUUACACAUGCAAGUCGAACGGCAGCACGGGAGCAAUCCUGGUGGCGAGUGGCGAACGGGUGAGUAAUAUAUCGGAACGUGCCCGGUCGUGGGGAUAACGUAGCGAAAGCUACGCUAAUACCGCAUACGAUCUACGGAUGAAAGCGGGGGAUCGCAAGACCUCGCGCGAUUGGAGCGGCCGAUAUCAGAUUAGGUAGUUGGUGAGGUAAAGGCUCACCAAGCCGACGAUCUGUAGCUGGUCUGAGAGGACGACCAGCCACACUGGGACUGAGACACGGCCCAGACUCCUACGGGAGGCAGCAGUGGGGAAUUUGGACAAUGGGCGCAAGCCUGAUCCAGCAAUGCCGCGUGCAGGAUGAAGGCCUUCGGUUGUAACUAGCUUU
rnacentral:rRNA from 1 species